ACUUGUAAACUGGAGGAGGGGAGUAGUGCUUCACCGGUGGUGGUGGAGACUUGUAAACCGGAGGAGGAGAGUAGUACUUAACCGGUGGUGGGGCAGACUUGUAAACGGGAGGAGGGGAGUAGUGCUUAACCGGUGGUGGGGGAGACUUGUAAACCGGAGGAGGGGAGUAGUGCUUAACCGGUGGUGGGGGAGACUUGUAAACGGGAGGAGGCGAGUAGUACUUAACCGGUGGUGGGGGAGACUUGUAAACCGGAGGAGGCGAGUAAUGCUUAACCGGUGGGGGUGGAGACUUGUAAACCGGAGGAGGGGAGUAGUGCUUAACCGGUGGUGGUGGAGACUUGUAAACGGGAGGAGGCGAGUAGUACUUAACCGGUGGUGGUGGAGACUUGUAAACGGGAGGAGGCGAGUAAUGCUUAACCGGUGGGGGUGGAGACUUGUAAACGGGAGGAGGGGAGUAGUGCUUAACCGGUGGUGGUGGAGACUUGUAAACGGGAGGAGGCGAGUAGUGCUUAACCGGUGGUGGUGGAGACUUGUAAACGGGAGGAGGCGAGUAGUGUUUAACCGGUGGUGGUGGAGACUUGUAAACCGGAGGAGGCGAGUAAUGCUUAACCGGUGGAGGAGGGGAAGAGUAGAAGUAAUUUGCAGUGGUUUGAGAGACAAAAGCAAGGGAGAAUGCUAAGACAAGGAAAGAGGCCAUUGGUGACCCCAUUUUGUUAUGU
rnacentral:lncRNA from 1 species